rnacentral:lncRNA from 1 species
UUAUUCAAGAUAUAAAUGCAGGAUUAAAGGAUGAAACAGAAAUUCUUGAACAAUUAGUUCCACUUUCUUCUCUAUCUGAGGAGCAGUUGGAAACCUUAAUUAAGAAAUUGAGAAAAGCAAGUGAAGGCUUGAACUCUACACAUGAAGAUCACAUUAUGUCCCAUCCAGCAUUACACGACGCCCUUAAUGACCCGAGAAAUGGUGAUUGUGCAGUCAAGCACCUGAAACAGCAGGUAUGUUUGGACACAAUCACUCAACGUUUCUUCAUAUGUUUAGUGCUAGCAUCCCAAGCUGAGGAGAUGGCUCACCAGAUAAAGGUGCUCGCUGCCAAGCCUAAUGGCCUGAGUUCAGUCAUCUGAAUCUUACAAAGUGUCCUCCGACUGCUACAUGCACACACAAGUGUGUAUGCUCACAAUAAAUAAAAGUAAUUUUUUAAAAGCUAACAUUCUAGUUAGGUAUGGUGGUAUAUACCUCUAAUCCAGAACUCAGUAGAUAGAGACAAGCAGAUCUGAGUUUGAGGCCAUCCUGGUCUACAGAGUGAGUUCUAGGACAGCCUGGGUUACAGAGAGAAACCUUGUCUUGAGAAAACAAUCAAAAAAAAAAAAAAAAAA